GCGAGCUUGAGCAGCCGGGCGGGCUGGAGCAGAGGUCGGUCCUUUUCCUGUGUGUCGCCUUCCUGUUCGUCGUGGCGAGGUGGCUUCUCAGCUCUGGUUGAAACGGGAGGACAAAUGCAACUGAAGAGAAGCUCUCGGUGUUUGGGAAGAGGAUCCUGAGUGACAGAGGAAUCGAAGGACACUGGCCAUACGGGAAUCCAAACUCAUGACCUUGAGGUUAUAAGGCUGAGCCUCUAAACAACUGCGCUAACCAGUUAGCCUCAACUUUAACUUUAAACUGCGUUUUACAGAAAAGUCACUGACUCCUGACCUGUGCCACACACUGCCUCUGCUCUCACUGGAGUUGAAACACCAGACUCUUCACUGGACCUCCGUAGAAACUCCAAGAACAUCUUCAGUUGGGGUUUGGCUUUGAGUCCACCAGACACCACG